UACGUAGGGUGCAAGCGUUGUCCGGAUUUAUUGGGCGUAAAGAGCUCGUAGGCGGUCUGUCGCGUCGGAUGUGAAAACCCAGGGCUCAACCCUGGGCCUGCAUUCGAUACGGGCAGGCUAGAGUACGGCAGGGGAGACUGGAAUUCCUGGUGUAGCGGUGAAAUGCGCAGAUAUCAGGAGGAACACCGGUGGCGAAGGCGGGUCUCUGGGCCGUAACUGACGCUGAGGAGCGAAAGCGUGGGGAGCGAACAGG
rnacentral:rRNA from 1 species